rnacentral:rRNA from 1 species
UACAGAGGGGCAAGCGUUGUUCGGAAUUACUGGGCGUAAAGGGCGCGUAGGCGGCCUUCUAAGUCGAACGUGAAAUCCCCGGGCUCAACCCGGGAACUGCCUGUCAGACUGGAUGGCUUGAGACCGGGAGAGGUGAGUGGAAUUCCCGAGUGUAGCGGUGAAAUGCGUAGAUAUUGGGAGGAACACCGGUGGCGAAGGCGGCAUCCUGGAGCCGGCAUUGACGCGUGAGG